UGAGGGAAAGUUGAAAAGAACUUUGAAGAGAGAGUUCAAGAGUACGUGAAACCGUUCAGGGGUAAACCUGAGAAAUCCGAAAGAUCGAAUGGGGUGAUUCAACGCUGGCUGCGUCAGCUCCCGUGCGGCGCGCGAUGCGCGAGGGUUCGCUCUCGUCGCACGCGUCCGCUGCGGUGAGACCGAUUACGCCGGUGUGCACUUCUCCCCUAGUAGGACGUCGCGACCCGUUGGGUAUCGGUCUACGGUCCGGCAUGGUCGACUGUCGAGUAUCGUGAAAACGAGCACACGGCAGACCGUCGGUGACCCGGCCGAUUGCCCGGCGGUAAUUGAUUGCUUUCAUUGAGGUAAUGGGCCGCAUUAAGUGCGUCAAGGUUCGCAGGCAGGCUCGUCUCGCUCGGUUAUCACGGACUAUGCGCCGUUGCCGAGCGCUUGACGUGGCUGUUCGUCUACGAUAUCCUCUGACUGGCUCUUGCGUUCGAACGGACGUACCGGUCGGCGACGCUNCUGCUUCGGAUACUUUCAGGACCCGUCUU
rnacentral:rRNA from 1 species